AACGAACGUUGGCGGCGUGGAUUACACAUGCAAGUCGAGCGGCAGCGCGGGGGCAGCCCUGGCGGCGAGCGGCGAACGGGUGAGUAACACAUCGGAACGUACCCAGUUGUGGGGGAUAGCCCGGCGAAAGCCGGAUUAAUACCGCAUACGACCUGAGGGUGAAAGGGGGGGAUCGCAAGACCUCUCGCAGUUGGAGCGGCCGAUGGCGGAUUAGCCAGUUGGUGCGGUAAAGGCGCACCAAGGCGACGAUCCGUAGCUGGUCUGAGAGGACGACCAGCAACACUGGAACUGAGAGACGGUCCAGACUCCGAGGGGAGGCAGCAGUGGGGAAUUUUGGACAAUGGGGGCAACCCUGAUCCAGCCAUUCCGCGUGAGUGAAGAAGGGCUUCGGGUUGUAAAGCUCUUUCGGCAGGAACGAAACGGUGGAGGCUAAUACCUUUCAUCAAUGACGGUACCUGAAGAAGAAGCACCGGCUAACUACGUGCCAGCCGCCGCAGUAAUAC
rnacentral:rRNA from 1 species